rnacentral:rRNA from 1 species
AGAGUUUGAUCAUGGCUCAGGACGAACGCUGGCGGCGUGCCUAAUACAUGCAAGUCGAGCGGAUUAAUGGGAGCUUGCUCCCGUUAGUUAGCGGCGGACGGGUGAGUAACACGUGGGCAACCUACCUAUAAGACUGGGAUAACUUCGGGAAACCGGAGCUAAUACCGGAUGACAUAAAGGAACUCCUGUUCCUUUAUUGAAAGAUGGCUUCGGCUAUCACUUACAGAUGGGCCCGCGGCGCAUUAGCCAGUUGGUGAGGUAACGGCUCACCAAGGCAACGAUGCGUAGCCGACCUGAGAGGGUGAUCGGCCACACUGGGACUGAGACACGGCCCAGACUCCUACGGGAGGCAGCAGUAGGGAAUCUUCCGCAAUGGACGAAAGUCUGACGGAGCAACGCCGCGUGAGCGAUGAAGGCCUUCGGGUCGUAAAGCUCUGUUGUUAGGGAAGAACAAGUGCUAGUUGAAUAAGCUGGCACCUUGACGGUACCUAACCAGAAAGCCACGGCUAACUACGUGCCAGCAGCCGCGGUAAUACGUAGGUGGCAAGCGUUGUCCGGAAUUAUUGGGCGUAAAGCGCGCGCAGGCGGUUUCUUAAGUCUGAUGUGAAAGCCCCCGGCUCAACCGGGGAGGGUCAUUGGAAACUGGGGAACUUGAGUGCAGAAGAGGAGAGCGGAAUUCCACGUGUAGCGGUGAAAUGCGUAGAGAUGUGGAGGAACACCAGUGGCGAAGGCGGCUCUCUGGUCUGUAACUGACGCUGAGGCGCGAAAGCGUGGGGAGCGAACAGGAUUAGAUACCCUGGUAGU